GACUCGAAUAUCAGAACAUGUCGUCACGAAACGCCAAGCACAAGAAUCGAGCUCGCAGUACUAUGCCUAGUACUGUCAUUAUUAUCUGAUCAUAAGUCCCUUAACGAAACCAACUUUCAAACGUAAUGGCUGAAGGUGGACUACUUCAAGUUCCUGACACACCCAGAUCUGUGAAUGACUCCCACCUGUUGGAUUGUCCGGUUUGUCUGGAACAGCUGCAUGAACCGAAAUCUCUGCCAUGUCUUCAUUCCUUCUGUCAGGAAUGUCUGUCAACCUUUAUCACCAAAGACCUAUCGGGAAAGAUGGCAUCAGCGACUGCCUUCCCUUGUCCUGUGUGUAGGAAGAUGACGUCACCAGUCAAUCUGUCUGAGGAUAGGAAGAAAUGGGCUCAACAAUUCCCAACUAAUGAUUUGGUGAAAGAUCUUAUAAAGGCCAUGACACGUGAACCGUUGUAUUGUCAACCAUGCGAGAAGAAGGGAGACCUGGGGACUCCUGCAACAACUUGGUGUAAAGCAUACAAUGUUCUGUUCUGUGCUGCAUGUAAAGUCACUCAUCAUGAUUUAAUUCAUGGAGGAUGUGAAACUGUAGAUGUAACAGGGAAGGAAGGAAUUAUGCAGCGACAGGUAACCCAACAGAUUCGAUGUGAAAAACACACAAAGAAAAUAUGUUACUAUUGUGAGGACCAUCAGGUACUUGGCUGUAGUAGAUGUAUCACCAUAGACCACAGACGAUGCAACAUAGUAACGACACAGGAGUACUGUGACAAGUUGAAGGAGCACUCACGAUUGGAGGAUCUGAAGACAUCUUUACAGAAAACAACAGAAUCCAUUGUUUUACUUAUCAAAGAGUUUGGUGAGGAUCUUCAAACCCUAGUAAAUGACCAAAAAAACGGAUCGGAGAGUUUAGCACAUUUGCGGAAAAUGGUGGAUAUGCGUCUUGAUGUCAUGCAGAAAAAUAUUUCUGACAAAUUGAUAUCAUCCUACAAAGAAGAGAGAGAGAAUCUAGAAGUCUCAAUGCAGAGAUGUGAAAGACUGAUGUCUUCAAUUCAAAACACGAUAGAAUCAUCAGAGGCAGCGGUUCAGAGGAAGGACAAUGUAGACACAAUCUUGCUGUAUCAGAGAGGUCAGGCAGAAGAGGAGUCCUAUCAAAACAUGUUAAUGGAAAUGAAGAAAUCUUUCAACUCUGUCAGAAUUAAACAUGUUGUUGAACCCAGUCUUCUCAGGUUAGAUAAGGACAUUCCACUGUCUUUAGGAGAUGUCGCAGUAGAGAAAAAACUGAAGAUGCUCCCACCUGGAUUAUACAGUAAUGUGACCGCCUUAUCUGAAUGUUGUGUGAAGGAGGUAAGCAAGUUCAGCAUCAAUUGUCCAUCAGAUGGCAGAAAUUGUUCUUCAAGUGGUGUUGUUUACCUACCAAGUGAUCAUAUCAUUGUUGGAGAUUCUACCAAUCGCAAAAUAAAAUUGUUCACUGCAUCAGGGAAAUAUUUAGAUGAGAUGAACGUUUCAGCUGCACCAUUUGAUAUGUGCCGGGUAGAUGAUCACACUGUUGCUGCAGCUAUUCCAAAAUUUGGUAUUCUUAUCAUCAGAGUCCAUCACUCUACGCUAAAUGUUUCUUUCAAAAUAAAAAUGUCAAACUGUGAACAGCCGUAUGGUAUCACUUAUUCAGGUGACACGGACACAUUCAUCGUGAGUACCCUGAAGGAAAUAUACAGAGUCUCUACAGAUGGAUAUGCAACAUACAUGUGUACUUAUCCCUCUAGCUGCUGGCAUCUCGUGUACGAUGAAAGGACGGGACACAUAUAUGGAGACCAGUACACAUCCAAGAAUGGCCACAUAGCUGUAUACAAAUUGUCAGAUGGUGUAGUUAAACCUAAAGCUGUAACAAAGGUCGGUAUUCUCAGGGAUGCGUUUGGAAUAGAUGUCGAUGGCGAUGGCAAUGUGUACGUGUGUGGGCUGGCAUCUAAUAAUGUGGUGCAGAUGUCUGGAGAUGGGAAAAACGUCCGAGAACUGCUCAGGCCAUCAGAUGGUGUACAUAAACCAACGGCAAUAUCAGUGUAUGGGAACAAAUUUGUGGUGACAAAAGAAUCGUCGUACGAUAGGACUGAAGUACAUAUAUUUCAACUUUACUAAGCAGUACCUUCAUUGACUGCUGAAAACUCUAAAGGUUGUUGUAGUCCCCAGUAAACUAAGGCGACAGGGUCUUAAAAUGUAGGUGUAGUCUCUGGUAAACGGGACGAGACGAGGACUGAUAAGGUUGUUGUAGUCUCUGGUAAACGGGACGAGACUAGGACGGUUAAAGUUGUUGUAGUCUGGUAAACGGGACGAGACUAGGACCGUUAAGGUUAUUGUAGUCUCUGGUAAACGGGAGGAGACUAGGACUGUUAAGGUUGUUGUAGUCUGGUAAACGGGACGAGACUAGGACUGUUAAGGUUGUUGUAGUCUGGUAAACGGGACGAGACGAGGACUGUUAAGGUCGUUGUAGUCUGGUAAACGGGACGAGACGAGGACCGUUAAGGUUGUUGUAGUCUGGUAAACGGGACGAGACAAGGACUGUUAAGGUCGUUGUAGUCUGGUUAACGGGACGAGACUAGGACUGUUAAGGUUGUUGUAGUCUCUGGUAAACGGGACGAGACGAGGACUGUUAAGGUUGUUGUAGUCUGGUUAACGGGACGAGACUAGGACUGUUAAGGUUGUAGUCUCUGGUAACGGGACGAGACUAGGACCGUUAAGGUUGUUGUCUCUGGUAAACGGGACGAGACUAGGACCGUUAAGGUUGUAGUCUCUGGUAAACGGGACGAGACUAGGACCGUUAAGGUUGUUGUAGUCUCUGGUAAACGGGACAAGACUAGGACUGUUACGGUUGUUGUAGUCUGGUAAACGGGACGAGACUAGGACUGUUAAGGUUGUUGUAGUCUGGUAAACGGGACGAGACUAGGACUGUUAAGGUUGUUGUAGUCUCUGGUAAAGGGGACGAGACUAGGACCGUUAAGGUUGUUGUAGUCUGGUUAACGGGACGAGACUAGGACUGUUAAGGUUGUUGUCUCUGGUAAACGGGACGAGACUAGGACCAUUAAGGCUGUUGUCUCUGGUAAACGGGACGAGACUAGGACCGUUAAGGUUGUUGUAGUCUCUGGUAAACGGGACGAGACUAGGACUGUUAAGGUUGUUGUAGUCUCUGGUAAAGGGGACGAGACUAGGACCGUUAAGGUUGUUGUAGUCUCUGGUAAACGGGACGAGACUAGGACCGUUAAGGUUGUUGUAGUCUCUGGUAAAUGGGACAAGACUAGGACUGUUAAGGUUGUUGUAGUCUCUGGUAAAUGGGACAAGACUAGGACCGUUAAGGUUGUUGUAGUCUGGUAAACUGGAGGAGACUAGGACUGUUAAGGUUGUUGUAGUCUCUGGUAAAGGGGACGAGACUAGGACGGUUAAGGUUGUUGUAGUCUGGUAAACGGGACAUGACUAGGACCGUUAAGGUUGUUGUAGUCUGGUAAACUGGAGGAGACUAGGACUGUUAAGGUUGUUGUAGUCUCUGGUAAAGGGGACGAGACUAGGACGGUUAAGGUUGUUGUAGUCUGGUAAACGGGACAUGACUAGGACGGUUAAGGUUGUUGUAGUCUGGUAAACGGGACAUGACUAGGACCGUUAAGGUUGUUGUAGUCUCUGGUAAACGGGACGAGACUAGGACUGUUAAGGUUGUUGUAGUCUGGUAAACGGGACGAGACUAGGACUGUUAAGGUUGUUGUAGUCUGGUAAACAGGACGAGACGAGGACUGUUAAGGUUGUUGUUGUCUGGUAAACGGGACGUGACUAGGACGGUUAAGGUUGUUGUAGUCUCUGGUAAACGGGACGAGACGAGGACUGUUAAGGUUGUUGUAGUCUGGUAAACGGGACGAGACGAGGACUGUUAAGGUUGUAGUCUCUGGUAAACGGGACGAGACGAGGACUGUUAAAGUUGUUGUUGUCUGGUAAACGGGAGGAGACGAGGACUGUUAAGGUUGUUGUAGUCUGGUAAACGGGACGAGACUAGGACCGUUAAGGUUGUUGUAGUCUCUGGUAAACGGGACGAGACUAGGACUGUUAAGGUUGUUGUAGUCUGGUAAACGGGACGAGACUAGGACCGUUAAGGUUGUUGUAGUCUGGUAAAUGGGACGAGACUAGGACUGUUAAGGUUGUUGUAGUCUGGUAAACGGGACGCUCUGGUAAACAGGACGAGACGAGGACCGUUAAGGUUGGUGAAGUCUCUGGUAAACGGGACGAGACUAGGACUGUUAAGGUUGUUGUAGUCUGUGGUAAACGGGAGGAGACAUUUUCAUUUUUUCUUAAUUUUUGACUUUUUUUUUAGAACUUUCUUGGUCAGAAUAUUCAGAUUGAAGUUUCUGUUAAAGUUUUGUAAUGGAUUACCAUUCAUUUAAUAACUAUUUAUGUUGAUAAUUUACAUAGAGUUGCAGAGUUUUAACUGAGAAAACAGUAUAAUUCUUUCUGAAUUUUUGGCAUGUUUUGGACAAUCAUUUUGUCAAAACCAUUAUUGGUCAACAUUGCCAUGAUUUGUAAUAUUCAUCAUUUGCUUUAUUAUAAUGUUGACAAGUUGCCAUCUAUCUGACUUUCUUUAUGUAGAGGGGCAGUAGCUAUAGGGGACCUGUGUUAAGUAAUAUUCCUAAAUCUUGUUUCCUAAAUGGAAUAUGUAUAACUGUCUUUGAAUUGAUUAAGCAAAACUAUCUGGAUAUUUGUUUUCAAGGUGUUCUAUUUCUCAUUAUUUCAUGGGUAAAAUAGAAUUGCAAAAAAUUAGAUACAUUUGUACAUUGUAAACAAAAUUUUUAGAGAAAAUUAUUCUGUUUUGCAAUUUUUGAAAAAAAACAACCCACAUUAGUUUAUACUUUAAAUAAAAACUUUUACAUGUGCUCUACAUGUUUCUCCUUAAGUUACAAGGUCAACACAAUGCUUUUUGCUAAAGUGGAAUUAUUUGAAAAAUGGUUCGCAACUGAAUUGAUAAAAAAAGUAUCAAAUGUAGUUUGCCCUAACAUUUUGUGAAUAUCAAUUAUCAGUUUUACCUUUGUAUAAGCUUUCUAAUGAGUGUUCAUCAUAAUGUUAUGUACAUAUUUCACAAUGGCACAUACAUUUCAGGACUUGUAGUUUAGAUUCCCAUGUUUCAAUUGUUUAAAUAUGAAAGUUAAGUCUAUAUUUCUAUUGUUAAUUAAAAAGUUAUAAACAAGCUAUACUCCAUGUUUCCUUUGUUUAUAUAAAGGUUAAAAACAAGACUGUAUGGGGUUAAGAACAAGAUUCCUUGGGGUUAAAAACAAGACUCCUGGGGAUUUGAGGUAAGGUAAAGUAAACAAUUCAAUUCAAAACAAUGGUCUUUGUCUUUUAACCAGAAGGAUUAUCAUAAACAGUUCCAGGUCUAAUAUAUGUACAAUCUAAUUAAGAUUAGACUUGUUGUAAUUUCCACUCUUCUAUAAUACACUGUAUUGAAGUGUAUCGUAGAGUUAGUAGAGGAGAGGAAAUUAUAAGUCUAACUUUAAUUCGAUUGGAUACAUGUAGCGAUCAACUUUGUUCCCUUAAUUUUGAUAUGGAUAUAGAGCCAUAAGUUUUGCAUGCGUCAAUUUAUUAUGUCAUAAUAAUCAAAUGUGUCUAUUGUAGUAAAAAUCAUAGCAUCGUCCAGCAAUAAACAAUCUCCU